GUUUUUGCAGAAAGAACGCUGCACUUAUUAGUAUUCAACCCGCGAUCCUUUUUUAGUUAAGAGAGAAAGGAAAAAAACACCCACGAGCACGACCCCUCCCACAUCUCCACCUCCAGUGCGCCGCCACCCCUGCCACGCUGCUGCGCGCCGCCGGGCGCGGCGACGGUGAUCUCCGGCCAGAUCCGGACGAGGAGGUGAGGCAGUGGCAGGAUCCUGUUCCGGGACGGCGUGGAGGCGAUCUAGGAGGCGCGGGAGGAGGUCCAGCGGAGGGGCUUGAACUCCAAGUUCAUGGCGCCGGUGUUCCUCGCCGGUUCCGAGCGAGAUGGCAAGCUCCGGCGGAGUCUCUCCAUGGAUACGGUGGCGCUGCACCUAUGAGAGAGACAUAUGUGAGGCGAGAGAUAGAAAGGAAGGAGGGGCAGUGAGAAGGAGAGGGCGCGAGGACCGGCGAGGAAGUCCUGGUGGUGCCCAUGUCCUGCAGCAGCUCAGCUCCAGGGCCGCGUUGCGAUACGGCGUCGACGGGAGGCGAUGGAGAUGAGCAGCUUGUGUCCGUCCUGCAGCGCGCAUUCUUAAUCCCCAAGCACUAGAUCGCAACGCCGGCCCGCCAGCCCGCACAUAUGCAUGUGUGCAGCCCCCACCCAUGCGUGAGCCGUGGCGCGCGUGGCCGCCGAUGAUCUGGUGAGAACCCACAUCGCUGAGCAGGUUGCAGCGGUGCUUCUCUUGAAUUUACUAAUUUUCGCAUGGUGCAGGCCCUCUGACUUCACCUUUUUGGAAUCGCUUAGGAUAUUUGAUGCUUGCCUGCAUAUAUGUGCACACCGGCACACGGCACACCGAAAUGAUGUCUGAAUUUGACGGUUUACUUGAGAAAACUUCUGCUGAAGUUAAUGGUUCCCUGUCAAAUCUGCGCAUAUGUAACUGCAGCAAGAACUGCUGGUGAUGCACAAGCUAGGGAUCAGCUGGAACGUCCUAUUGAAUGCCUUCAUGGGGACAAUUGUUUGAAGAUUAUUUCGCCAACCAUGUGGAGCCACUGACGUUUACUCUCCCUGAAGACUCAGUGGCCAGCUCAGGUGCUUCCUUCGAUCUGAUCUGCAGCAAAGCGUUUUCCAUGACCUCUUGAAUUCUUGUCGAUGGAUCCAAGUCAAAAUAAAAUUGUUUUGCCAAUGAAAGCACAUAUGAAUUGUUCCUCUAAUUUGGUAUUCUUUUCAGACACUAUACUAAUCGUGAAGUUGCUAUUAUGAUCCUCAUUGCUUAUUUAAUGAUGGCUGAAGUGUACUAACAUCAUAUUCAUACAAUAUAAUUUGUCAUUAUUAUCAGCUAGCUUAAAUGAUAUUCACUGGUUGCUUUACAUGGCACUUGCUUGAGUUGAGUGAUACUCUUAGUCCUGUCUCAGCAUCAUGGUUCGGGAAAAAGUGGUGUACGAAUGGCUUCGGAGGAUAGUUUGCAGAGGUACUUAAGUUUGUCAGGUUCUCUGAAAAAGCAUUCAAGAAGGGUGAAGCAAUCUUUUACUUAAUUCGGAAGCUCUUGUCAUUGUUAAUGAUACUAUGAUACUCUGAUUGCACGAGUCCAUGAAGCAAGCAAUAAUCUAUCUCAAAAAUUUGUGUCCAAGCAUAUAACGGUACUACAACUUACGAGUUCUGACUAUGGCUGUGUAGCACGCUGACAAGACAAGAGAAUAAUGCCUCUAAGGCAUUUGUCCGAGCUAUGCCGCUUCCUAUCAAACUCAAGUUCGGCGCUCCGUCUGCACUCGAGCAUAGCUGUCGGCCAUCAGCUCGCUCAAGCAAACACGCUGACCGUCUGCGCACGAUCUCCUCCCAGCCUUCGACAUGUUAUUUUUGCAUGCAAGGCUAAUAAGCUAUCUCCACCUCCUUUUUCUGUCCGAGCUCCUCCCUACCCUGUCAAAACCAAAUGCUACCAUCUCCUUUCCUUGGCAUGCUAAAACUUAUGUCAGUUCAUUUUCAUGGAUAGAUUAGUGAGAAUGAGAUUGGGCUCUUUACACUAUACAGAGGAUGAGGAGCUAUAUGUGCUACGAGAUGUUGCUUGACGUGUGGUUCUGGGACCUUCUGUUGUUCAAAUUACAGCUCCCUUAUUUAGUACUAGGCAUUCCCACUGAUACUGACGAUACAUGGAGCAUUUCCAGAAGUGGCAGUAGAGACAUGUAGCACCACUUCUUGGUAGAUUUUGUCCAUUUACUUUUUGUAUCCUUUGAAUUAGAAUAUUCUGUGCAAGAUUUGAGUUUGAAUCUGGUCAAAUUAAUCUUGUACUCUCUGAAUGAAAUAACGUCUCAUAUCUUACUAAAUUUUGUUGUGUAUUGGAA